rnacentral:rRNA from 1 species
UCCUGGCUUCAGGACACGACUGGCGGCGUGCCUAAUACAUGCAAAGUCGAGCGGACCAAAGGGAGCUUGCUCCUGGAGGUUAGCGGCGAACGGGUNAGUAACACGUGGGCAACCUGCCUGUAAGACUGGGAUAACAUCGAGAAAUCGGUGCUAAUACCGGAUAUAAAAGAACUGCAUGGUCUUUUUGAAAGAUGGUUUCGGCUAUCACUUACAGAUGGGCCCGCGGCGCAUUAGCUAGUUGGUGAGGUAACGGCUCACCAAGGCAACGAUGCGUAGCCGACCUGANAGGGUGAUCGGGCCACACUGGGACUGAGACACGGCCCAGACUCCUACGGGAGGCAGCAGUAGGGAAUCUUCCGCAAUGGACGAAAGUCUGACGGAGCAACGCCGCGUGAGUGAUGAAGGUUUUCGGAUCGUAAAACUCUGUUGUUAGGGAAGAACAAGUGCCGUUCGAAAGGGCGGCACCUUGACGGUACCUAACGAGAAAGCCACGGCUAACUACGUG